AUCAAGGCCAUCUUUGUUUAGCCCUUUCUUAGCCAAUGCAAAAAGUUUCGUCCCAUCUAAAACGAGCACAAAGUGUUCUACCCUUUUUUGAACCUAAGUCUUAAACAAUAUGUGAAAACCCCUUUGAAAGUCUUUACCUUGAGUUAAGUUGAGAAUUAUUGUGUGGUAUUGAUAAAGGUUCAAGUUUGGGGCUGUUGGGAAAGUUGAAAAAGAAAAGAUAAGUAUUAAGCUAAUGUGUUGAGCAAAACAUGAAAAGAUAGAAAAAAUAGAAAAGAAAGAAUGAAAGAAAAAGAUAAUCUCAAUGCAAAAAGGGGAAAGUUGGGAAUGAGUGAGAUUGGUUGUUUAAAGAGAGUUUGUGCUUGAAUGAUAAAUUUUCAAAUAACUCUCUUAACUCAAGGAUUUUGUGAUCUAGAAAAACCAAUUUUUCUUGAUUAAGCCCAACCUCAUUAUAAGCCAUGGAACCAACCUCAUUAUAAGCCAUGGAAAGUCCUUGUGAUGAUAACUUGCUUGUGAGUAUGAAUGAUUGUGGUUAAAUGAAAGGCAAAGUUAAUUUGUGUGACAUUGUGAUAGAAUAGAGAAUGAGUCACCUCAAUAUACAUCUGUGUGCUUGAGUGAAACACGUUCUUUGUGAGGAGUAGUUCUAGUUAUACAUGAUUGCAUCUGUGCUUGGUUAAUUGGUCAUUCAUGAUAAUAGCAUCUGUUGGAAAGAAUGAGAUUAUGUGAACACCAUAUUGAGUUUAAUGGAAGUAAUGCA
rnacentral:lncRNA from 1 species